GCAUUAAUGGGGUAGUGGUAACCUGGGUCGUUGCCAUAUCAAAGUCUAAGUGGAAGAUAUACUCGACCCGCCGGGGGUUCGAUUCCCCCUUAAUGCA